AUCUAUGGCCAUGCCACCCUGAACGUGCCCAAUCCCGUCUGAUCUCGGAAGCUAAGCAGGGUCAGGCCUGGUUAGUUCUUGGAUGGGAGACCACCUAGGAAGACCAGGUACUGUACACG
rfam:Pteropus alecto contig85005, whole genome shotgun sequence.